rnacentral:rRNA from 1 species
UACAGGGGGUGCAAACGUUGCUCGGAAUCAUUGGCGUAAAGCGCACGUAGGCGGUCUGUUAUGUCGGAUGUGAAAGCCCUUGGCUCAACUGAGGAAGUGCAUCCGAAACUGGCAGGCUAGAGUACUAAAGAGGAUCGCGGAAUUCCCGGUGUAGAGGUGAAAUGCGCAGAUAUCAGGAGGAACACCGGUGGCGAAGGCGGGUCUCUGGGC